rnacentral:rRNA from 1 species
UACGGAGGGAGCUAGCGUUAUUCGGAAUUACUGGGCGUAAAGCGCACGUAGGCGGCUUUGUAAGUUAGAGGUGAAAGCCUGGAGCCCAACUCCAGAAUUGCCUUUAAGACUGCAUCGCUUGAAUCCAGGAGAGGUGAGUGGAAUUCCGAGUGUAGAGGUGAAAUUCGUAGAUAUUCGGAAGAACACCAGUGGCGAAGGCGGCUCACUGGACUGGUAUUGACGCUGAGGUGCGAAAGCGUGGGGAGCAAACAGG